AUGAUGGCUCUUGAUAUAGAUCCGCUGGAUGUUGACGUUGAUCCGCGGAUAUUAGGAAUAGUGGAUGUUGGCCUAGAUCCGAAGAAGACAUUGGAUUUUGCCGUACUUCAAAUUCUCCGCUGCCGCUUCAUCCUACCGCCUGGAAGACCUACGAAGGAGUUUCUUAAAGUCUUGAAAAGCAAUCGUGGCGUGAUUCUUCCUCCGCUAAAUGUCAUUCGCCACAAGAAAAAGGAUCUUGUGGAAACCGCAUGGGGUUGGAAGAGGCUGUUGCCGUGGAUGCGUGGUUCUGUUCUCUUCGAGGAUUAUUUUACUUACCUUCAGCAGUAUUAUCAGAAGAAUAUCAAAGGUGUUUAUGAAUCUUUCAAGCUGGAAGACCAGAACUUUGAAGAUCCUUCUGCAGUUGCACGUCUCAACGCUGCAGCAGCCACUGGGUGUUUGGAGGCAGAGCAUAUGUUAUCUGGCAUCCUUGAUGACGAUCCUGAACUGAAUAAAAAGAUAGUGGAAGAAGCAAGUCGUUUCGAGAAUGGAGCUUCUACACUCACUGUUCCAGCAACAUCCAUCGUUCCAGCUGCUUGCUUUAUGUGUAUCACGGAGGAGGCUAAGUUGAUGUAUGUAUUGUGCACCACGAAGGCUGAUGAGUUUCCAGUUGAACUGAGGCAAGAGAAACUUGAGUUUUGCACUGAGGUCCGGCGGGUUGCCUUAUAUUUUCUGACCACAUACAAAGGGUCUUAUUCAAAGCAAGUCUCUGCUGCCAUAUUGGGCAUGAAAAUGGAGACUUCUACUGCACAUGCUCACUUGCUUGCUCCAGAAGCUAAGCGAGCCGAGCAAAAGCUUUACCUUUCUGAAGAAAUCCGACAUAGUUUGCUGAAACUUUUGAUCCUUAUUCAAGAACGAUUUCCUCCUGGAUCUCAUAUCGACUAUGAUCCGAUUGCACGUGUUCGUACUGCUUUGAAGAAGCACGAAUCAAAUGAGGUUUCUCCUGAUGAUAUUCCCAUUCCUAAAACUCUCACCAACAGUGCUGCUCCAUUGCCACGGAACCUAUCUGAACCAUGCAAUGAAUCUGAAAGUGCAGAUGUGAUUGCUGGCAGUCCUAACAACAUUGUUUUGGGUGCCACUCCAUCAUGGUCUCUAUCUGAUUAUGAAUCUGACCAAAGCAACACGAGCGGCAAGACAAGGAAGAGCAUUGGAGGGAUCUUAGACAGUGUAACUCUGGAGGAUUUGGGUAUUCAUAUUACCAGUGGUGACGUUGUGGCUCAUGCUGAUACCAUACCUGUUCACUCGAGUGGCGAAUCUGAUGACAAAAAUAACAAGGACAAAAAGAGAAGCAAAAGCGCUGUAAAGAUCCAGGGCAUGCUAGGAAAUGCAGAUGAUGAGAGCUGA
rnacentral:rRNA from 1 species